AAUCAACGCUGGCGGCGUGCCUAACACAUGCAAGUCGAACGCGAAAAGGGCUUCGGCUCUGAGUAGAGUGGCGUCCGGGUGAGUAACGCGUGGGUAAUCUACCUUUGGGUGGGGAAUAACUAGUCGAAAGGCUAGCUAAUACCGCAUAACGCAAUUUUCUAUUAGGGAAUUGUUAAAGCAGUAAUGUGCCUAAAGAUGAGCCUGCGUCUGAUUAGUUUGUUGGUAGGGUAAUGGCCUACCAAGACUACUAUCAGUAGCUGGUCUGAGAGGACGGCCAGCCACAAUGGCACUGAAACACGGGCCAUACUCCUACGGGAGGCAGCAGUGGGGAAUCUUGCGCAAUGGGCGAAAGCCUGACGCAGCGACGCCGCGUGGAGGAUGACGGUUUUCGGAUUGUAAACUCCUGUUAAGCGGGAAGAAAGCCUUGUUUCUAAUACAAGCAAGGUAUGACGGUACCGCUAGAGAAAGCACCGGCUAACUUCGUGCCAGCAGCCGCGGU
rnacentral:rRNA from 1 species